rfam:Candidatus Woesebacteria bacterium RBG_13_36_22 RBG_13_scaffold_986, whole genome shotgun sequence.
GGGCUGGUAGCUUAAUGGUAGAGCACAUGUCUUAUAAACAUGAGGUCGAUGGUUCGAUCCCAUCCCAGCCCA